UUAAGUUAAUAAGGGCGCACGGUGGAUGCCUUGGCACUAGGAGCCGACGAAGGACGUGACAAACGACGAUAUGCCUUGGGUAGCUGUAAGUAAGCGAUGAUCCAGGGAUUUCCGAAUGGGGGAACCCAACAGGUAAUACCUGUUACCCACAUCUGUUAAGGAUGUGAGGAGGAAGACGCAGUGAACUGAAACAUCUAAGUAGCUGCAGGAAGAGAAAGCAAAAGCGAUUGCCUUAGUAGCGGCGAGCGAAACGGCAGAAGGGCAAACCGAAGAGUUUACUCUUCGGGGUUGUAGGACUGCAAUGUGGACUCAAAGAUUAUAGAAGAAUGAUUUGGGAAGAUCAGCCAAAGAGAGUAAUAGCCUCGUAUUUAAAAUAGUCUUUGUACCUAGCAGUAUCCUGAGUACGGCGGGACACGUGAAAUCCCGUCGGAAUCUGGGAGGACCAUCUCCCAACCCUAAAUACUCCCUAGUGACCGAUAGUGAACCAGUACCGUGAGGGAAAGGUGAAAAGCACCCCGGGAGGGGAGUGAAAUAGAACCUGAAACCGUGUGCCUACAACAAGUUCGAGCCCGUUAAUGGGUGAGAGCGUGCCUUUUGUAGAAUGAACCGGCGAGUUACGUUAUGAUGCGAGGUUAAGUUGAAGAGACGGAGCCGUAGGGAAACCGAGUCUGAAUAGGGCGCCUUAGUAUCAUGACGUAGACCCGAAACCAUGUGACCUACCCAUGAGCAGGUUGAAGGUGCGGUAAGACGCACUGGAGGACCGAACCAGGGCACGUUGAAAAGUGCUUGGAUGACUUGUGGGUAGCGGAGAAAUUCCAAACGAACUUGGAGAUAGCUGGUUCUCUCCGAAAUAGCUUUAGGGCUAGCGUCGAUAUUAGAGAUUCUUGGAGGUAGAGCACUGUUUGGGUGAGGGGUCCAUCCCGGAUUACCAAUCUCAGAUAAACUCCGAAUGCCAAUGAAUUAUGGUCGGCAGUCAGACUGCGAGUGCUAAGAUCCGUAGUCGAAAGGGAAACAGCCCAGACCACCAGCUAAGGUCCCAAAAUAAUUGUUAAGUGGAAAAGGAUGUGGGGUUGCACAGACAACUAGGAUGUUAGCUUAGAAGCAGCUAUUCAUUCAAAGAGUGCGUAAUAGCUCACUAGUCGAGUGACCCUGCGCCGAAAAUGUACCGGGGCUAAAACAAUUUACCGAAGCUGUGGAUACCUUUAUAGGUAUGGUAGGAGAGCGUUCUAUGUGUGAUGAAGGUAUACCGUGAGGAGUGCUGGAACGCAUAGAAGUGAGAAUGCCGGUAUGAGUAGCGAAAGACAGGUGAGAAUCCUGUCCACCGUAAGACUAAGGUUUCCAGGGGAAGGCUCGUCCGCCCUGGGUUAGUCGGGACCUAAGGAGAGACCGAAAGGUGUAUCCGAUGGACAACAGGUUGAUAUUCCUGUACUAGAGUAUGUAGUGAUGGAGGGACGCAGUAGGCUAACUAAAGCAGACGAUUGGAAGAGUCUGUCUAAGCAGUGAGGUGUGAAUUGAGUCAAAUGCUUAAUUCUAUAACAUUGAGCUGUGAUGGGGAGCGAAGUUUAGUAGCGAAGUUAGUGAUGUCACACUGCCAAGAAAAGCUUCUAGCGUUUAAACAUACUCUACCCGUACCGCAAACCGACACAGGUAGUCGAGGCGAGUAGCCUCAGGUGAGCGAGAGAACUCUCGUUAAGGAACUCGGCAAAAUGACCCCGUAACUUCGGGAGAAGGGGUGCUGACUUUAAGUCAGCCGCAGUGAAUAGGCCCAAGCAACUGUUUAUCAAAAACACAGCUCUCUGCUAAAUCGUAAGAUGAUGUAUAGGGGGUGACGCCUGCCCGGUGCUGGAAGGUUAAGAGGAGUGCUUAGCGUAAGCGAAGGUAUGAAUUGAAGCCCCAGUAAACGGCGGCCGUAACUAUAACGGUCCUAAGGUAGCGAAAUUCCUUGUCGGGUAAGUUCCGACCCGCACGAAAGGCGUAAUGAUUUGGGCACUGUCUCAACGAGAGACUCGGUGAAAUUUUAGUACCUGUGAAGAUGCAGGUUACCCGCGACAGGACGGAAAGACCCCAUGGAGCUUUACUGCAGUUUGAUAUUGAGUGUCUGUACCACAUGUACAGGAUAGGUAGGAGUCUAAGAGAUCGGGACGCCAGUUUCGAAGGAGACGCUGUUGGGAUACUACCCUUGUGUUAUGGCCACUCUAACCCAGAUAGGUGAUCCCUAUCGGAGACAGUGUCUGACGGGCAGUUUGACUGGGGCGGUCGCCUCCUAAAAGGUAACGGAGGCGCCCAAAGGUUCCCUCAGAAUGGUUGGAAAUCAUUCGCAGAGUGUAAAGG
rnacentral:rRNA from 1 species